rnacentral:lncRNA from 10 species
GAGCACUUCUGGCCAAUCGGCAGGAGCAGAACUCCAUGCGGGCCUGCAGCAGCACCUAGGGGUUGCCUGUGACUCCUGAUGCCCCAGAGGGAGUGUUACAGUGUGUUCUCUUAGCUUUGCUGUCUGCAGACAGCUAAAUGUUUCAUAGCUCAGUGUGACAGUCCUCUAUAUCCCAAGCUCUUGUUUGGCGUCCAGGAAGAAUCAGGUCACACGAACAAAUUGAAGGGUGAUAAUGUCUGAAUGUUGAAUUGAAACCAUGAGAACUGAAGAGUGAAUGGGCCAAGAUCAGAGCUUGUGACAAUCCACAGGUGGCCCUGGAUGCAGGUUUAGAUACUAUUCUUUCAGACAAUGUUCUCAGCCGUGUGCAUCAUUCAAUCCUCUACAUCUGAAAUGAUUUGCAUAACCAUGUUGCUGGGCCUGGGACAAAAUUCCUAUGGCAGUGUUGAAGCUUUUUCAGAUUCUCAUUCUCUCCCCUCUUUUUUUCUCUAUCUUUUAGAAUUCUGCAAGAAUGGAUUUGUGUGGGGUUUUCUUUUCUGUAGAAAUUGAUGUUGUAUGUCUUUCAUAAGUGUUCAGAGCUGAGAAAGAAAGGGAUUGGAUACUGUUGUAUUUUACUGUGCCUUCUAUAAGACAUUUCAACAAUCUCUGUAAAUUAGUUUAUCUUGUUUUUUAUUGAUUUCUUAAAUAAAUUAAUGAUCUAUCCCAAAAGAAGGUGUGACAUUAAUUUCUUUUCUUUUUUUUUUUAAGUGCAGUGGCAUGAUCAUAGCUCACUGCAGCCUCAACCGCCAGGUUCAAGCAAUCCUCCCACCUCAGCCUACUGAGAAGCUGGGACUACAGGAAUGCACUACCACACUGGGCUAAUUUUUUUAUUUUUAGUAGAGACAGGGUCUCACCAUGUUGUCCAGGCUGGUCUGAAACCCCUGGGCUCAAGUGAUCCUCCUGCCUUGGACUCCCAAAGUGUUGGGAUUACAGGUGUGAGCCACUGUGCCCUGCAACACAUUAAUUUCAAAACUAUAUCUUUAAAAUAAUGCAAAUUGUGUCUAUAUGGAUUGCCAAACUACAGAGACAAGAACAGUUAUUUCAUUUCAUUCCUUAUAAAGCUUCCCUCUUCUCCGAAAUAACUAUGCUGGCAAUACCAGUAUGUCAACAGAAAUUUUAGGUAUAUAAAUUCCUUUUUUUUAAUCACCCCCAUUAUUACUAAUGUCACUCUACCUUCAAAAGCAAAAUCAAAUUGAAAAGUAGCACAUAUCUGACUUAGGCUAUUGAAAACUUUUAACUACUUACAUUUCAGAUAAUAAAUGAGCCUCAGCAACUAAUCACACUCAGAAUCCGAAAAAUAAAUAAACUUAGUUUCUUAACUAUAAAUUAUUUUGCCCCAAGCCAAAGAUAUUUUUAUCUUCCAGAGAUAUUAUAAUCUCCCAAGCCAAGGAAAGAAAAAAAUGUUAGAAAGAAUCAAAUACAUGACUGCAUUUUGAAAGAUUUUGAAAGAUUUCUAGGAAAUGUUUUUACCUGCUGCAGACUAACUACCUUUAGACAUCAGUUACUACACUUGCAUGGGAGGAGGAUCUUUGUGACGUUUAUGUUUAUUUUCUCUUUGUCACUGAUUCAUUCAUGUCAUUAAGCACAUAUAUGUACAUAUGAUAUAUAUGACAUAGAUACGUAUACAUAAAAUAUACCUACAUAUUUUUUGCUAUGUGCCAGGCAUUGUUCGAGGCCCUGGGAAUGCAAUGCCCAAGAGUCUUUAUACCUCAAAUCCAGAGAGGGGAAACAGACAAGCAAUGUAAAUAAGGUGUCAUAAGUGCUCCAUUAAAACAAAUAGAAAGUACUAUGGGAGCUCAUAGCAGAGGCGCCAGAUUAGGAUUAGAUCAGACUAAAUGUUCAAGGCAGGCUUACUGGAUAAAGGAAUAUUUACACAGAGCCCCCAAAAGAUGAGACAGAUUCAGUCCUUGGAAAACAAGGGCUAAAGAAAAAUAUGUUCCAAGCAUAGAGAGGUAUAGCAGGGACUAGCAGGAGAUAAGGUUGAAGAAAGAAAGUUACAAACAGAUGCAUGAUAUGAUUAGAUGAACAUUCCAGGAACAUCACUCUGCCUGGAGAAAGGACACACAGGACAAUUACAUCUGUCAGGAAACCAAAGGCUGAAAUACAAUAAUGCAGUAAGGAUAGAAAGAGAAUUUACAUAAAAGGCAAAUUCACAGGUCAAUUAACUGUCAGAGUGGGGACGGGGAGAGUGGUUGAUCACAGCCCUGGAAUUUUAGACAUACUAGUGAACAAUCAUAUGGUGGGCUACUGUAUUAGUCAGAAUCAUUGAUGCUAACAGCUGUUAUGACUCAAAAUCUCAGUGGCUUAGCACAACAAAUGUUUAUUUCUGUCACCUCACAGUCCAAAGCUGAGCUGGGAGAAGGUGGGUUCUGCUCCACACAGUCAUUCAUAUCUCCAUGUUUUCUCCCUGGAUUCAAGCAUUCAAAAGACAUUAUCAGGCUUUUGUCACCCCCGCUCCCUGGCAUGUUUUUUUUUUUUGAGAUGGAGUUUCACUCUUGUUGCCCAGGCUGGAGUGCAAUGGUGCGAUCUCGGCUCACUGCAACCUCUGCCUCCUGGGUUCAAGUGAUUCUCCUGCCUCACCCUCCCGAGUAGCUGGGAUUACAGGUGCACAACACCACGCCCAGCUAAUUUUGAAACAGAGACAAGGUUUCUGUUGGUCAGGCUGGUCUUGAACUCCUGACCUCAGGUGAUCCGCCCACCUCGGCCUCCCAAAGUGCUGGGAUUAGGGGCAUGAGCCACCACGUCUGGCCCUGCCCCUUCCUUCUUAUUCUCAGCUCUGCCUUCCUCUCCAUUGGUUUACCCCCAGGGAAGCUCUCUCCUUAUGGUGGCAAGGAUGGGACCCCAGCAUCUCCACUCAAAUGAUCUCUAGUGUAGCAGUUCCCAACCUUUUUGGCACCAGGGACUGGUUUCAUGGAAGACAAUUUUUCCAUGGAUGGUGUUCGGGGGAUGGUUUGGGGAUGAAACUGUUCCACCUCAGAUCAUCAGGCAUUAGAUUUUCCUAAGGAACAUGCAACCUAGAUCCCUCAUAUGCGCAGUUCUCAAUGGGGUUCACCCUUCUAUGAGAAGUUAAUGUCACCACUGAACUGAUAGGAGGCAGAGCUUAGGCAGUAACACUCACUUGCCUGCUGCUCAUCUCCUGCUGUGCAGCCGGGUUCCUUACAGGCCACAGACUGGUACCCGUAUGGGGCCCCAGGGGCUGGGGAACUCCUGCUCUAGUGUAUCAUCUCCGGAGAUAAGCUUUCCCCAACCAUUCUCUUAGCAUCUCUAAUAAUCCCUGCAAAAGGAUUCUGGACUUCCUUGGGUCAGAUAACCACCUAGGGCCAGUCAUAGUCCACGUGGAUGAAGAACGUGAUUGGCCAGCCUGAGACGCACCCCAGAGGCAGAGGAGAUCUGAUGAUUGGUAGCUCCAUCAGAUGUGGGAGGAGGAGUUCCUGAGAGGAACAGAGAAAGAAAGGCUCUAAUACCAGAAGGCAGGGGUAAGUAGCUGCAAAAACAACAGCCAUCACCAAAGCUAUAUAAGUUUUAAUCUCCCAUCAAAUUUUUGGUUUAGGAUCUUAGCAGAACUGAAGGGUAGAAAACCAACCUAUGGAAUUUUAAGUUAGGAGUGCCCAAUGAGCAACCUGCUCUGCUCUUAUCCUAUGAAGUAUGAUGACUAAACAUUUCCAUUGUGUAAGUCUAGAAUGUCACAUUUUUUUUUCAUAUCUGUAUGUUCAUUGGUGUUUUAUCUUUGAAACAACAUGGUUUUACUCCAGUCUUUAGCCUGUACUGAGGUUUAUGGGUCUCCUGGAGAAAAGCUAAGUUUAGUGUAAAAUUUGUUCUGCCUUCAAUCACAAGGGAAAAACAAUCUGCCCUAGCAAACCCUGUGGGAAUAUGAUUUAUGAGUGCAUGCUUAGGUGUUUUAUUACUACAUAUCAUAACUUUUAUUAGUGCUUCUAUUAAUAUUGCCAGUCAUGAGCGAUAAAAUUGACUCUGAGUGCAUCCACAGGCUUUUAUAAACCUCUUUCUGAAUCACUGGUUUUUCUGUAAAACAUAAAACAUUUUGGUAAAAAACAAAAAGUGGCAAUUCACUUGGUUUUGGCUUAGCACUUGCAUUUUCUAGGAGUGGAAUCAUAGCUGCUCAGAACUGUGGGAGCUCUCAGAAGUCAUCUGACCUCAUUCUCUAUUUCUCUGUGAGUGGAGGGUAGGCACUCUGUACACUUAGUGGAAUGAAUGAAUCUCCACUAUGGCAUCACACUGCUAUUAAGCUUAUUACCUCACAACAGCCCAGGUUUUCAUGUGAUUGUUUUAUUUUGUUUUUGAGACAAAUUCUUUUUUUUUUUUAAACAGUCUCACUCUGUCACCCAGGCUGGAGUGCAGUGGCAUGAUCUCUGCUCACUGCAACCUCCACCUCCUGGGUUCAAGCAAUUCUCCUGCCUCAGCCUCCCAAGUAGCUGGGAUUACAGGCAUGCACCAUCACGCUGUACUAGCCAGGGUUCUCUAGAGGGACAGAACUAAUAGGAGAUCUAUCUAUCUAUCUAAAUAUUUAUAACAUAUAUAUCUCCU